AAAAGUAAACAGUAAACAUUAUAAUAAUAAUAUAAGAUAAACAAUAAACUCUUAACUAACUAACUAUAAAAAGUAAACAAAAACAGUAAACAAUAAACUCUUAGCUAAUAUAGAAAGUAGAGAUAAUAAUAGAAGUAAAACAGGAUUCAAGUAAAAUAAAAAGAUAAAUGUAGAGAACUGUAUAGAGGAUUAAUAUAAAUAAAUAAAUAUAUAUAAAUAAAUAAAUGUAAACAUAUAUAUAUAUAUGUUUGUGCCUAGAUGUUAUCCUGCCAGGGCACUCGUCCAGCUUCAGACAUGAAGUACUGAGCAAACUUCUCCCUCACUGCCACAACAUCUCUGCCAGCAUUGUUGGUGCCAAGGCAAGGUGCGUUCUGGAGACCUUGUGAUGGCUCAGCUGUGGAUGUUCCAGUAGAUGACCUAGCCGGUAUUGUAGUGCUGGCAUCCCACCUCAGAAAGUUAUGGAGCAUGCAGGUGGCCUUUACCACGUUCUCUGCCACUUCUGGAGAGACACACAGCACCCGACGUGUUGUAGCCAGGGUAUGGGCGCAUGAUGUUACGCCGCAAGGGGAAGGCUUCGUCUGCCAGAAACACAUGAGGCAUCGGGCCAAGAUGUUCUGCCCCUGGGAGGAUGGAGUCAUCCGGGAUACCCAAUGUGUUCUGCCGUAGGGCAGUACCAAAAGCGGAGGAGGAGAGGGUUCCCCCAUCACUGUUUCUUCCAUAGGCCCCGAUGUCAACAAGCCUGAAACAGUACCUGGCGUCGACUACAGCCAGAA